GCUAUUACACGCACUGAUGACAAUGAAAUGUAUAGUGUUCAAAAUGGUGGUUCGCUGAGCUCUCUUGGAUCAUCUCAAAUGGUGAAUGAACAUUAUGGAAA
rnacentral:rRNA from 1 species